UACUCCUCUACAAUUGGAAGAGAAAGAAAAUCCACCACCCAGCAACCACAUGAACCAAGAGCUGGGAUUGUCCCAAAAAAGGAGACACGAAAUAGAAACUGAAUUCGAAAUUUUUUUUCUACGUUCCCAGGAAAAUCGAAUCAGCAAAAACGCAUGCCAAAGAAACCAUUCCCCAUCCCCACCCUUUCACUCAGAUUCCGAAGCCAUCAAAACCCUUACAAUGGGGGGUAACGAACUGAACCUCUCAUUGCUUAUUUGAACCACGUCAUCGAAAGCGACUACGAAUAGGGCUUGGGGAAAAGAGGCGGCACGAAUUUGGUUGGGUUAUAGAAGGCCUCACCUUUUUGGGGAUGAAUCUAGGCAGUGGGAGUGGGAAAGAGAGUUGAGUAGAGGUAGGUUGGCUGGUUGUUAGUGGCGGGUUGGGCGGCGAGGCUGGGACUUGGUUGCGGAAGGAGACUUUUUUUUUUUCAUGUUGGUUUUUUUUUUUUGGUUAGGGUUUAAGGUUGUCGAGGUCCAUAACCUUGCUUGACCUCAUCCUCGAGGUCCUACCAUGGCGUCUUCUGUCUUCGUGGUUGGGUGGUGCUGGGUGGUGUGGCUGAGGCUGUGGGGUGGGGCUAGGAAUUGGGGGUCGGGGAAGGGGUAACUGAUGGCGUUUUAUUCUAACUUUAUAAAUCUUUUCCUUAUGUAAUUAUUUUGUAGUUUUUUAUUGAUACUUUAAGCCAUUUAAGUUUUAAAGAUGGGUCCCACAUAUGCCAUACCCACAAUUAAUAGAAAUUGUAACGGUAAGAUUAACACCGUAACUAAAUUACAAAAAAUUGAAAAGCUUAGGGUGUGUAAUUAUUAAAAUUGAGAAUGCAGAGACAAACAUGUCUUAUAGAUACGUAUUAUAUUUUAAUUUAAUCUAAACUAUUGGAGUCAAAAAAUAUAAAUAGAAUUUUUGUCAAGGUGUUCAACUAAAAUAUUAACAUUGGGGCUUUUGACUAAUUUCCAUUCAUAUUUAAAUGAAUUGUUUAUAUUGGUAUUUAAAUUGAAUCUGCAGCCUUGGAGCAUGGUUACUUUAGGUAAUAUGUUUAGAUUAGGGUUAAUUUCAGUUUGGUACCCUGAAUUUUCACCCUUAAGUCAUGUUUGUCCUUAAAAAUUCAAUUUUAACAAUAAAGUACCCUAUGUUUGUAAAUUUAUUGCAAUGUGGUUCUGCCUUUAGAGUGG
rnacentral:lncRNA from 1 species